AGGACGAACGCUGGCGGCGUGCUUAACACAUGCAAGUCGAGCGGAAAGGCCCUUCGGGGUACUCGAGCGGCGAACGGGUGAGUAACACGUGAGCAACCUGCCCCUGGCUCUGGGAUAGCCUCCGGAAACGGGGAUUAAUACCGGACAUUCACUUUCUUCCGCAUGGUCGGGAGUGGAAAGUUUUUUCGGCCGGGGAGGGGCUCGCGGCCUAUCAGCUUGUUGGCGGGGUAACGGCCCACCAAGGCGACGACGGGUAGCC
rnacentral:rRNA from 1 species